rnacentral:rRNA from 1 species
CAUUCGGGGUGGAUCAGUGGCGAACGGGUGAGUAACACGUGGGCAAUCUGCCCUGCACUCUGGGACAAGCCCUGGAAACGGGGUCUAAUACCGGAUAUGACCUGCUCCUGCAUGGGGGUGGGUGUAAAGCUCCGGCGGUGCAGGAUGGGCCCGCGGCCUAUCAGCUUGUUGGUGGGGUAAUGGCCUACCAAGGCGACGACGGGUAGCCGGCCUGAGAGGGCGACCGGCCACACUGGGACUGAGACACGGCCCAGACUCCUACGGGAGGCAGCAGUGGGGAAUAUUGCACAAUGGGCGCAAGCCUGAUGCAGCGACGCCGCGUGAGGGAUGACGGCCUUCGGGUUGUAAACCUCUUUCAGCAGGGACGAAGCGCAAGUGACGGUACCUGCAGAAGAAGCACCGGCUAACUACGUGCCAGCAGCCGCGGUAAUACGUAGGGUGCGAGCGUUGUCCGGAAUUAUUGGGCGUAAAGAGCUCGUAGGCGGCUUGUCGCGUCGGAUGUGAAAGCCCGGGGCUCAACCCCGGGUCUGCAUUCGAUACGGGCAGGCUGGAGUGUGGUAGGGGAGAUCGGAAUUCCUGGUGUAGCGGUGAAAUGCGCAGAUAUCAGGAGGAACACCGGUGGCGAAGGCGGAUCUCUGGGCCAUUACUGACGCUGAGGAGCGAAAGCGUGGGGAGCGAACAGGAUUAGAUACCCUGGUAGUCCACGCCGUA